UUUAACUCAUAAUUAGUAUAAUUAGUUCUAUCGUAAUUCAAUUAUUACUAAAAGUAGUUAAUAAUCUACAUUAAUUAAAUAAUAUUAUAAAUUGAUCUGAAAUUUUUAGUAAUUGCUUCGGCAACGAAUAUGACAUCCUGAUGCCUUAACUCAGCGAUCGGGUUGGGUAUGGGGGUGUUACAGAUUAUACGGUUUCAGGUGCUGGUCCUGGAUGUCCUACCGAUAGCUGAGGUCCUACAUUUGUUGUGGAUUCUCCACAGCUUGUGUGAGCAGCAUCGUGUAGCUAACAUCCCGACCCAUAACUCGUGUAAGCACUAUUGGAAAGGUUAUAGUUACAUGAAAAGGCACACUUUAUGUGAGCAUUCCCGAGUAUCCAAUGUAAUUCUAGAUGGUUCAAUGGGUAAGUAAAGGUUAAUGAAAAGGCAUAUAUAAAAACUUAAUGUACUAAUGUUCAUAUGAAAUGGAAAGAUGGAUAUACACAUAUGCAAUGAAAAGGGUGAGAAUUUAUUAUGUAACAGAUGAAAUAUGCAUGGAAUUUAUUUCUUAAUAUAUGUUAUGUUUAUUUAUUAUCUAUUAACUAUGUGGACUCAAAAUAGUAGAAUGUGAAAUGGAUAUAUAUGUGCGAUGGAUGAUAUAUAAAACCUAAAUGUUUAUUAGGUAUAUAUGGAAGGUAAUGAAAAUAAAAGUACAUAGUAUAUGAUGAAAGUGAUUGAUGAAUUUGAAAAGCUUGAGAUGUUAUAUGCCUUAUUUGGUUAAAUUUAUAUGUGCAUUGCUUCACCUACUAACCUUGUGAGGUGUUGUGUAUAAGAAAAGGAAAUUUGGACUAUGGCUAAAUGGUAUCAUUUACGGUUGUUUAAUUAGUGCAUUUGGCAAGUUUAAGUUCUAUUAUACGAACUUACUAAGCAUUAGUUGCUUACCUAGUUGAUUUUCUCUUUUUUUUUAUAGGUCAUCGAAAAGCUCGAUCAAUUAGAAAUUACGUCAGAGCAUGAUCACACUAUCUAACGAUCCAUCUUGGUAAAUUUUGGUUAUUUUCGCAAAUGAUUAUAAAUGGCAUGUAAUAAGAUUAUAAGUUUAGUCUUGAUAAUUGAUUUGUUUUUAAAUGGUGCCAAGUUAAUUUAUUUUCAUAUCUUUCGAUAAAGGCUUAUAAAUUAUGUGUAUUCAUAUGAGAUGGUAGUAACUAUGCAUACCCUCAUGUGAGUAGAAAGAAGAUGAUUGUAUGAUAUGUUGUGAUAUGGUUAUUUGACAUGUAUAGGCUAGUUACCACUUGGUAUUUUGAUGUUUGAGUUGGUAUGUUUGGAUUGCUACCAAACUUAUGCAUAUGUUAAUAUGGCUAUGUAAAUGUAUGUAUAUGUUGUGACUUUGGACCUAAAAAGCCUUGUAAAUAUGUGAUUUAUGUUCAUUCAUAUGUGAUAGAAAUGGUGUAAUAAUGGUGUGAGCAUAGGAUUAUAUGUUUAGGUUAUAAUGAAUGUUUGAUCGAAUUGAAUAGAAUGAUGAUUGAGGAGCCAUUUAAAUGGCAUAUUGGUUAAAAAUAGGUUGACUGUGAUUUUGGCAUGUUUAUAGAUGUUCUGAGGUAUGCUUUAUAUAUGUUAAUAAUGGUUGAAUUGGUGAAUCUUUGUGUGCAAGUUUUGGGCUUAAAAUGACUUGAUUUAGGGGCUGUCACAUGGUCGUGUGCCACACAUGGUCACCCCACACGGUCGUGUGUCAUUUAAAUUUUAGAUGUAGUGUGAACCACACGAGCUCAGAGAGUUACACGACUUGGUGACACGAUCGUGUGACCCAACUUCAUUUUCACAUACGGGUUGGGACAAGGCCGUGUGUCCUAACUUCGAAUGUCCACACGGUCUGGGCUAUGUCACACACCCGUGUGACCCAUGUUUUCAAAAUUUUUAACUUCUUCCUAAAAUUUCUUAUUUGUUUCAAAUUAGUCCUAGCUUGUUUCUAAUAUGUUUUUAGGGCCUCGAAGGCUCGAUUUGAGGCCCAAAUGUGUAUGUUUACUAAGAUUGUGAUAAGUUUUGAUAAUUAAUAACAAAUGGUAUUAUUGAUAUGUUUUGAAGUAAAUUGUUUUGGUUUGUAUUGUAAUGAUAUGUAACCCUAAUUCGACACGGAGACGGGUUAGGGGUGUUACACUCGCCCCCCUGAGAGUCCUCUUGUGUCCAAGUCGGUGUCAACCUUUGGAUAAGAAUGAAAGGUUAAAGAUACUAAUUGCGUAGAAAUAGAGAAAAAAAUUAUUUUGAUUACACCGGAAAUCUCUCUGUUUUUCCUUAUGAUUAUGGCCUAAAUCUUAUGUAUGGUAUAUAAAAUGCAUCAUUUGCACGGUAUCCAAAAAGCUUGAACUCUUGACCACGUAACGACCAUCAACUGACCGUUGUUAUAUUCGAACUCGUGACAACAUCACGAUCGUCGACUAGGACCUCCACUUGGACUUCGACCUCUAAUCUUAUCAAACACAAUUACCUUUGAUCUUAUCAAACACAAUCACCUCGAAACCUGAUUUCCCUAAAAUGGGUUUUUAAGGUGAUGGUCCUAUCUCGCCAUGACAUAUGAAAUGUAUAUAUCAUGAGGUGCAUUAUCACAUUCCCGACUCCUCAAAACUACCUUUGAAAUUUCCUAGUUUUAAUUGAAAAUCCCGAACCCUAUUAGAAAAACCCUAAAUCAAAAGACCCUAAACCCUAUUAAAACCUUAAUAUUAUUUAAACCCUAUACCUAAAAAUAUUUUAAAAAAACCUAGCUGUAAUAGGCCAAAAUUGCUCGGCUCAAGACCCAUAAACAAUAAACAAAAAAAGACCAAAACAGUUCAAUUUUUUAGCCCAAAAUACUAAAAAAAUAGAAACCCAAAUCACUACCCAAACCCUAAACCCAUCAGACCCAACUUAGCUUAACUACCCAAACCCUAAGUGCUUCAGCCGCUACAGCCAAGUCGGUCUCCAGGCACCGCACGUCGCGCGCCCUCUGCGUCGUGCGCUGUUCCACCACGCCACGUCAAAGGCGUACAUGCCCAUAUACUUACAAAAACGCUAAAAACCGGUUGUAAAGUGGCUAUUAAAAGCCUUCAAAAAUUCAUUGUAAAUGAGAUUUUUUAUUUCAAAUACGAGAGAAAAAAGAAUAUAAAGAGAAAACCAAUAGCAAUCAAAUAUCAUAUCCAAGUUUAAGAGGUUGUUUUUCACUCUUUUUCGAGAAUUUUCUUUUUGAAUAUGCGAUUCUUUUAUUUUUUUGUGUUUUUUACAAAUCAAUUUAGAAUAAAUACCGAAGGGAAAGAGGCUUACCUGAGUUCAUGCCGUGAUCGGCGUCGGAGGCAGAGGCAUAGAAGUGCCGAUGACCCUCCAUUUUAGCUUCCCCAAAGCUAGGUUGAAACCCUA
rnacentral:lncRNA from 1 species